UACGGGGGGAGCAAGCGUUGUUCGGAUUUACUGGGCGUAAAGGGUGCGUAGGCGGCCAGCACAAGUCGGUUGUGAAAUCUCCGAGCUUAACUCGGAACUGUCAGCUGAUACUGAUGUGCUAGAGUGCAGAAGGGGCAAUCGGAAUUCUUGGUGUAGCGGUGAAAUGCGUAGAUAUCAAGAGGAACACCUGAGGUGAAGACGGGUUGCUGGGCUGACACUGACGCUGAUAGCGCGAAAGCCAGGGGAGCAAACGGG
rnacentral:rRNA from 1 species